CACGUAGGGCGCAAGCGUUGUCCGGAAUUAUUGGGCGUAAAGAGCUCGUAGGCGGUCUGUUGCGUCCGCUGUGAAAACCCGGGGCUUAACCCCUGGCUUGCAGUGGAUACGGACAGACUAGAGGUAGGUAGGGGAGAAUGGAAUUCCCGGUGUAGCGGUGAAAUGUGUAGAGAUCGGGAGGAACACCGGUGGCGAAGGCGGUCUUCUGGACGGCGACUGACGCUGAGGCGCGAAAGCGUGGGGAGCAAACAGG
rnacentral:rRNA from 1 species